UUCCGGUUGAUCCUGCCGGACCUGACUGCUAUCGGAUUGAUACUAAGCCAUGCAAGUCUUUGUAGUAAUACAAGGCAUACGGCUCAGUAACGCGUAGUCAACCUACCCUAUGGAUGGGGAUAAUCUCGGGAAACUGAGCAUAAUACCCAACAGAUCAUCAAUUCUGGAAUGGUUGAUGAUUCAAAUGAUUUUUCGCCAUAGGAUGGGACUGCGGCCUAUCAGCUUGUUGGUGAGGUAAUGGCCCACCAAGGCAAUUACAGGUACGGGCUCUGAGAGGAGAAGCCCGGAGAUGGGUACUGAGACAAGGACCCAGGCCCUAUGGGGCGCAGCAGGCGAGAAAACUUUGCAAUGUGCGAAAGCACGACAAGGUUAAUCCGAGUGAUUUCUGCUAAAGGAAUCUUUUACCAGUUCUAAAAAUACUGGCGAAUAAGGGGUGGGCAAGUUCUGGUGUCAGCCGCCGCGGUAAAACCAGCACCUCAAGUGGUCAGGAGGAUUAUUGGGCCUAAAGCAUCCGUAGCCGGCUCUGUAAGUUUUCGGUUAAAUCUAUAUGCUCAACGUAUAGGCUGCCGAAAAUACUGCACAGCUAGGGAAUGGGAGAGGUAGACGGUACUCGGUAGGAAGGGGUAAAAUCCUUUGAUCUAUCGAUGACCACCUGUGGCGAAGGCGGUCUACCAGAACAUGUUCGACGGUGAGGGAUGAAAGCUGGGGGAGCAAACCGGAUUAGAUACCCGGGUAGUCCCAGCUGUAAACGAUGCAGACUCGAUAAUGCACUGGCACAUAGCCAGUGCAGUGUCGCAGGGAAGCCGUUAAGUCUGCCGCCUGGGAAGUACGUACGCAAGUAUGAAACUUAAAGGAAUUGGCGGGGGAGCACCACAAGGGGUGAAGCCUGCGGUUCAAUUGGACUCAACGCCGGA
rnacentral:rRNA from 1 species